rnacentral:rRNA from 1 species
UACGUAGGCAGCGAGCGUUGUUCGGAAUUACUGGGCGUAAAGAGUGUGUAGGCGGUGCUCUAAGUUCGGUGUGAAAUCUCCUGGCUUAACUGGGAGGGUGCGCCGGAAACUGGAGUGCUUGAGCGUGGGAGAGGAAAGCGGAAUUCCUGGUGUAGCGGUGAAAUGCGUAGAUAUCAGGAGGAACACCUGUGGUGUAGACGGCUUUCUGGACCAUUGCUGGCGCUGAGACACGAAAGCGUGGGUAGCAAACAGG